UAAUCAACGUCCACUGAAAAUUGGAGAACUGGUUGGUGUCUGGAAAGGCCAUGUGGAGACAUCUUGAGAAAGUGGCCAUCUAGAAGCCAGGAAGAGGCCUCACCAACCCUGACAGCACCUUGACCUUGGACAGUAGCCUCCAGACUGUGAAAACAUAAAUUUCUGUUAAUAGCCAGUUACUACUCUGCAGUUAUUUUGUUAUGGCCGCCUGAGCAGACUAACACAAUAUCCAACUCUCCCAAUUUAAAAACAAGAAAACUAAUGUUCAGUUGGAAUAAAGGAAAAUAAGCUAUCAUAAUUGACUCACCAAGGCUGGUGGUAGGGAAAGCCAAGAAGCAAUUUGAUUUAUGCCAACACAUACUGAAAAGGCCCAGGAAGUGGUAGCAGGCUGACAGUGCAACCGGUCUAAACUACCGCAGUUCCUGGAAGUGGAGCUGCUAUCCAGUACCCCAAAUGUGGUGCAUCAUAUGUCCAGAUUAAAUGAUUGUUAUGUUCCUUGACCAUUCCCCGACCAUGAUUUACCCAAGCA